rnacentral:rRNA from 1 species
UACGUAGGGUGCAAGCGUUGUCCGGAAUUAUUGGGCGUAAAGAGCGUGUAGGCGGCUCGAUUAGUCCGCUGUGAAAGUCCAGGGCUCAACCCUGGAAUGCCGGUGGAUACUGUCGAGCUAGAGUCCGGAAGGGGCGAGUGGAAUUCCUGGUGUAGCGGUGAAAUGCGUAGAGAUCAUGAGGAAGACCAGUGGCGAAGGCGGGUCUCUGGACAGUUCCUGACACUGAGGCACGAAGGCCAGGGAGCAAACGGG